rnacentral:rRNA from 1 species
GACGAACGCUGGCGGCGUGCCUAAUACAUGCAAGUAGAACGCUGAAGCUUGGUGCUUGCACCGAGCGGAUGAGUUGCGAACGGGUGAGUAACGCGUAGGUAACCUGCCUGGUAGCGGGGGAUAACUAUUGGAAACGAUAGCUAAUACCGCAUAAGAGUAGAUGUUGCAUGACAUUUGCUUAAAAGGUGCAAUUGCAUCACUACAAGAUGGACCUGCGUUGUAUUAGCUAGUUGGUGAGGUAACGGCUCACCAAGGCAACGAUACAUAGCCGACCUGAGAGGGUGAUCGGCCACACUGGGACUGAGACACGGCCCAGACUCCUACGGGAGGCAGCAGUAGGGAAUCUUCGGCAAUGGACGGAAGUCUGACCGAGCAACGCCGCGUGAGUGAAGAAGGUUUUCGGAUCGUAAAGCUCUGUUGUAAGAGAAGAACGAGUGUGAGAGUGGAAAGUUCACACUGUGACGGUAUCUUACCAGAAAGGGACGGCUAACUACGUG